AUGGCAGUCCUGUAUUUUUUAAAAACGUCUCAACAGCUCAACUUUUAUGUCCUGGAGGAAUAUUUGUUGAGGUUACAUUGAUGGAGGGAGAUAAAGCCAUUUUGAAUAUUGCACUGGUGUGCAAAAGCUUCUGGGACAUUGUGUCAACCAAAAGUUUCUGAAGAAAAGCACAUUAUCGAUGGCUGGAAAGUGUCAUUAACCUGAGGUCAUACUCAAAAGAGUAUCAGAAGGAACUGACAAGAAUGUAUUCAGUUGAGACAUGCAUGACAUGUAGGACAUUAUAUAAAGUCUUUCCUGGAGGAUGCAUUGGUCGGGGAAAGAGCGGACAGCUGGACGGCAUCUACAGUGAUCCACAUCCUCACCCAGGAUUCUGCAGCCACAAUUGUGCCAUGAUUGUUAAUGCCAUGUAAAA